UGAAUUCAAUUUCCAAUAUGUCAGAUUUAUGACAUUUCCUCCCCACAUUAUAAUUGUUGUUAAAUUAUAAAGAUUUUUUUUUUUCUUGACCGUUUUGAUAUGUCAGAUCAUCUUAAGCUGGAAGGACACGAACAUGAGCGUCAUAGCCACAAAACAAAAUCCAUUUCACAGCAUGGUGAGGAAAAAGAGGGAGGAGCUAAAAUCACAGGUCUCUUCUUUAAAUAACUGUUUUACUCCAGCUGCUGAUGAUCCCGUGGUUCUCACACCAGGUAACUCUGGACUUCCACAAUUCACCACCUUCAUGAUUUCCCCUGUCCCCACCCGACCCCCAGGGUGAUUAUGAUAAAUUAGCAACAGCAUCACUUGCAGCGAGUUAAUUUACAGCACCACAGGAUUCCUCGUGACAUGUUGCCCUUUGUUUUUUCAAAUUAAUGUACCUUGUAUACUUCAACCACUGUCAAGGAUACAGCCUGUCAGAAGUCCUUGGCACUGAGUGUGUGUGUGUGUGUGUGUGUGUGUGUGUGCUUUUAAGGUUUGGCAACCCCUGCUUUAGAUCGACAGAUAUGUUGUUCUCACAGAGCUACGCUUGUUAAGAAGGUCACGUAAAAAUCAUUUCAAACGGUUGUUAUUUAUUUGUUAGUCCACGACAGGUUUGAUGUCUGGAUGAGAAAAGGUUUAUACUAUCUCAAUUAUGAAGCUAGUACUUACUGUAGUAAUACCCCAGUGGCUCCACUACUCCUAAAAAUAGAAGAAAAAAAAUCCUGCAUUUAUUCGUUUUUGCUGUCUAUUAAAAUUAUACUGCAUCAGACUCCAACAAUUUUGGAGGACAUUUGCAUGAGAGUCACGGCCACAAAACUGGACCGCGGUCAGAGCAGAGAGAGGAGCGCCUCCAUGAAGACAACGUAGCUCAAAAGACAGGGAGUUAGUUUAGUAUUUUGAUCGUUAAAAAAUAUGAGAUAUAUUUAUAUGUUGAAUACAUUUUACAAUGUGUUUGUGUGUCAGAGCACCAAGAGUCUCAGGCAGGUGCGCAGAACAAUCAUGGCCAUAAAUCUUCAUCCGAGCUGGGGGAGGAAAGGAAGGAGGAUCACAGAGGUGGGAGUACUCAGGGUACAGGUAGUGGCUUCAUCGUAGUAAUGUCGGCUGUAGACUGCAGUAGUUAUGAUGUAGUGGUCAAUACGACCAUAUCUUUGGCAGAGUAUCAUUGUUUAUGUCAACGUUGACUUCGGUGUGUUAGUCUCCCUCCAUGUCCACCGUCACCACGAGGUGACUUCUGCUGAACACGGUGAGGUGCAGCUUCCUCAGGAAACACAUGAAGAAAAGAUAGGUAUUGUUUUUAUGCUCGAAGUUUCAAAUAAAUGCCCUAAUUUUUUGGUCGUCAUAAUGACGAAAUUCUCGGCGUCAGACCUCCACACAUCUGAGGGAGGCAAACAUGAGAACGAUGAUCGUAAUAAUUCACCCUCAUCGGGGGAAGAUGUCAUAAGAACAGAGCAGCACGAAGACAGACACCAGGAAAUGAAAGGUAGUAGUAUUACUGCUAGUACAUUGAAGUACUUUGACCUUUUGCCUCUUGUACUUAAUGUUUUGAAUGUACUUGAUCGUAGAUACCCUUUGGUGAAAGGUCAGUAGGUCAUCUUAGUGAUGUUGGCUGUAGGAUUUUCUGACUGUAGCUACAGACUAGUGGACAAAACGUGCGUAUUUAGCUAGCAGGUGUUUUAACUGUAUUACCAUCUAUGUCCAUGUUGACUGUGGGGCCUUAGUCUCCCUGGACUUUGACGGACAUGGCCAUGAAAAUCAUCACCACACAAUAACUUCUGCUGACCACAGUAAAGAGCAACAACAUAAGGAAACACAAAGGGAAACUAAAGACCACCACACAUCUGAAGGAGGCGCACAUGAGGAAAAUGGGCACAAAACUUUAACCUCAUCUGAGGCAGAUGACAAAAGAACAGAACAGGAUGAAGACAGACACCAUGAUGGAAAAGGUACAGGCUGGAAACUAUUGUUAGCUUUAGCCACCUUUAGCUUAUGUUCCAAAAGUACCUGACUGUAAAUCCCUGGGAGAAUUAACUCCUCAGUUAAAUGUUAAUUUAAAUUUAAAUGAUUAUCAGGCGAGUUAGUGUCCACCACGUUGGAGGGACACGAGAGCCAUCACCAGGAAGCAGCACUGACGUCCCUGCACGGACUGGACCACACCCAGAAACCAGCUGAGAACACAGGUACCUGGCUGUGAAAGUAGUUAUUUACUUAACAAACGUUCUGUCUGUCAAUGAACAAAAUGGUGUCCCAGAUCAUCACAAGACGGUCGAGCGUUUACAUGAGAAUCACAGUCACACAACAACGCCCUCAUCUGAACCAACAAAGGAAAAGGAAGUGGAGCAGGAGCACGGACACAGUAAAGGAAGAGGUAGCUGUUUGCUAACUGCUGUGUAGAAGUAGAGUUGACUGUAGCCAUCCAGACUUAGCGUGUGAUUUAGUAAUCAUUUUAUAAUUCAUAUAAAAUAAAAAAAAUAGAAACUAAUUAAGCAAAACAAAAUGUUAGCAUAAAUGUUUGGUCACUCUCUAUGUGUAUAUAGAGCUAACAAGAAACAUUGUACAGUGUUCCUCCGUUUACGACAUCCUUAACUUACAGCAUUUAGUGGUAACGUCGCUAACUUUUCAUAAGUUAACUAGUUGGCGAGCAGAUGAAUAUAUCGUCACGUGGCGCUAUACGCGGAAGAUGGUUUUAUUUACAUUCACUGGUUGUACACCAAUAGCUGGGUUGUGCAGCAUUCACUUUCUGUCAUUGGUGUUGGUUUUUUUGGGAGGAACUUUUUGCCCUUCAUUAUGGCUCCCAGGCGUUAGUCAGACUCUUCUGAUGUUUUUAUGUCCUAGAUUAUGUUGUUGCUACUGUGUUAAUGUAGGUGAGUGACAUGAGUACAAUAUGUGAGUUUCAACAGAAGUCAAGGAUCCCUUGUAUUAUUGAUAUUAUACAUAUCAAUUAUAUAUAUGAUAUAUUUAUAUUAAUUAUAAUAAUAAUAAGAUGAAUAACUGCAUAAUUAAGGGGAGUAACCUCCGCAGCCCUUGAACUUCUACGUAUCUCACUGCGGUGUAAAGUGACCUCAGUUGUUUGGACUUCCAUGAAGCAGUACACGACGUCUACUGAGAGCAGGGCUGUUGUACACUCUAAAUGUAGUGGAGACAUUGUUUUCAGACAUGGUCAGUGGGGUGAAGCAGGGAUCUUUUAUUCAAGGAUAAACUACAAAUCUGCCAGCAGACGGCUGACAACGGGGAGCUGCAGGAAAUAGAAUUCACCUCAGAUUUCUCUCUUCUGUUAUAUUCACGACAAUCACGGUGUGUCAGCCCGCCACGGGUCUGAGGGGCAUGUACAUGAGGCACAUGGCCUCAAACUCACAGAGUCAUCGGAGCAUGGAGAGAAGAGACACCGACAACAGACACACGAGGGAGGACAAGCCGAGAGCAGAGGUAGCUCUUUUGCAUGUAGUGGUCGGAAUUUUCCUGGGAGAAUUGAAUGCAGCGCUUUAGUUUGGAUUCAGGAGGGCUGUAAAAGUCAGGUGUGAAUUAAUUAAAACAUUCAUAUACCGAUGCUGCUCUGUGGAUAAACCUCCACCAGGAGUUUAAUUUGGCACAUUACAGUGGAAAUGGUCCCCUUACACACACUGUGCAAUGAAAACAACAUUGAUAUGAAUUUGUCUCUUCAUCAACACCAUAAGCUGUCAGUUGAUUUAAUUUGCCACCUGUAAGAAACCAAGGUUAAAGAUGAAGUGGAAAUGAUGUUCUUAAAAGUUAAUAAUUCAGUUAACCUAAUUUUUUAAGGUCUUUAUUAACUACGGAGUUUCCGUGUCCCUCCAGUCUACGGGACAUGAACACAAGACUAAUGACCAUGAAACAAGUCUGUCAGAGCAAGAGAGUCACACAGGAGGCAGAGGUGGAGGGAGUCUGAUCUAAUUUAGUUCCAGGAGAGUUUACAAACUGAGGACUGAUAUUCACUAUGAGUUCAACUUGACAGUUCUCUAUUAAUAACCUUAGAAAAAAUCUCAGCAAUGCUUAAGGAGGGAAAAGUAGAAGUGGAGAAGGACAAAGACGGCCUUAGUGAAGAGACAACUGUCUGUAACCAACAACGGCCAACAUGUUUUGUUGAUCUAGUAUGAAGAUCUAUGCUAAAUGUCUUGUUUUUAGCCUCUGUGCUAACUGGUACUGCCGCGGCUGUGGCUGCCUCGUGCUCAUUCAGUUCAGUUUCUUUGCUAAGGCAAAUGUUUUACUUUCAAUUUUUUGUGUUCGAAAAAAGAAAACUUUUUCAGGAAGUUACUGCAAAUUACAUUAGUUUCUUUGUCAUCCAACAUGGUCAAAAACAUCCAGAUUAGUGAAGACCUGUUGUGUUAGCCCAGGUUAGCAAUAUUUAGCUCACAUGCUAAACAUGUUUUGCUGUGACUAGAAGUAUGCUGUCAUGAGUGAGCGUGCAUGAACGGCAUGAAGAGUUGAAAACUUAAUAUAUUUAUUCCAUUCAUUCUAUCGUGAAUUAUCAUAAUAAUAAAAAAGUGCAGAGUGAAAUUAUUUAUUAGAUUAAAUUUUAUCUUACAUCCAUAAUUAGCAUUACCAGAAAUUAGUUUGGCUUGUGUAGAAGUUGUUUUUAAAUAUUCACAAAAUGACGAUGUGCUGUUUUAGUGUCCCACAAGACCGAGCAACAUGAGUCACAUGACCCCAAAGUACAAGUUGCUAAAGGGCACGAGGAAGAGAGAACACAUGAAAGAAAAGGUAACUCUUAUGAAAGUAGUGGUAAAUGCUUGCUUAUAAACUAAUUCAAUUUAUAUACAAUGUCCAUCAUUUUCUUUGAUGGUAAUGUUUCAGUCUCCCACAAACAUGGGGAUCACCUACAUGAAACACACGACCACAAAACAACAGCCUCAUCAGGACAUCAUCACGAAACCCACGACCACAGAACAACAGCCUCAUCAGAACACGGUCAUGAAACUCACAACCAGGGAACAUCAACCCCAUCAGAAUCUGGUCAAAAACCUCACGACCGCAGAACAACAUCAUCAUCAGAACACGGUCAUGAAACUCACAACCACAGAACAGCCCCAUCAGAACAUCAUCACGAAACACACAGCCACAGAACAACAGCCUCAUCAGAACACCGUCAUGAAACAUUCCCAAACCAUGGACAACAACAGAAGGGGAACCAUGAAGAUACACAUGGUACUUCAUAUGAUCCUAAUAACAAAACUUAGCAGUAGACUUGCAGUAAAAAUGUAUCAUCUGACACUUAUUUUGAUGAAUAUUGUUGUCAGUCCACCUUAAGUCGGAGGAACCCUUACAUCAUGGACACAAAACCACAACCUCACAUGAGCACGAAGAGGAGCGAGGAGAAAUAAUACCUGAAACAUCAAGUACGAAUAGAAGUAGUACAAACUCACGACUUGAGUAAAAAGUAUAUUUUCAAUGUUGCUUCUUUCUGUUUUAGUCCACCUUAAAUCCCCAGGUCAUGCUCCUGAGACUUUUAGCCAUAAAACCACAACCUCACAUGAACACAGUGGAAAGAAGCCAGAAAACAAAAAAGGUAUCUGUUCAAUAUCUUAAUGUGAACGCAUUUUGCUUUUCAUAGAUUAGCUCCCAGUAGU